CUUCAUUCUGCCACAAAUGUAUCUAAACUUUGUCCUGCAGUUGUUUUUUGGGUACACUUCCCAUAAUUCUAUGCAACUAUGCAACAUAGAGAAUUAUGGGUAGUACCAGGCACGAGCACCAUGGUUCUAUCACAUUGAAUAUGCAACGGCAUAACUAGGUGCGUAGUACGUUUUAGCCACUAAUUUUUCAGCAGAGAAUCUUAACCCUUUCAGGACCAACAAAACAUUGGAACUGGAAUGGCAAAAAAAAGAAAGGAUCUGUCUAGCCCUGUUCCUGAAAGGGUUAAUUUAAUUGAGGCUGAAUAUACUAAUCGAUGCUAAACAUUGGAAGCCUGUAAUUAUCCCUUGUUAUUUUUUUAUUUUAUUUUUAUGGUAAUUAUGAUCUCAU